CGUUCAGGGGUAAACCUGAGAAACCCGAAAGGUCGAAAGGGGAAAUUCAUUCGCGUCUCGGAUAUCGGCGAUGAGCAGCCGCGUGACGGAUGGCGUUCGCGUUGUCCGCGCCUUCUGUUUUUCGAACCGGUGACGAACGCGUGCACUUUUCCCCUAGUAGGACGUCGCGAUCCGUUGGGUGUCGGUCUACGGCUCGCGGUGGAGUCCGUGUGCGAUCGUUUCGGCGAUUCGUGCUCGAACCCGCGAUGUUCCGGCCGACUCGCUCGACGGUAUACAGAUGGCGCGAGGCCGCUACGUUAAUUAGCGUCCGACCCACGGCAAGCGCGUUCGAUGCUAAGACGGCGAUCGGACCUAGUGCCGAUUCCGUUUCCGGACGACUGUUGGCCGUGUGGAUCUCUCGGACAGACCUCGUUCGAAACGCUGAUCUGCGACGCUAUAGCUUUGGGUACUUUCAGGACCCGUCUUGAAAC
rnacentral:rRNA from 1 species